rnacentral:rRNA from 1 species
UUCCCCUACGGGGGGUAGCAGUGAGGAAUAUUGGUCAAUGGCUGAGAGGCUGAACCAGCCAAGUCGCGUGAGGGAUGACGGCCCUACGGGUUGUAAACCUCUUUUGUCGGGGAGCAAGACCCGCCUCGUGCAGGCGGAGCGAGAGUACCCGAAGAAAAAGCAUCGGCUAACUCCGUGCCAGCAGCCGCGGUAAUACGUAGGGGGCAAGCGUUAUCCGGAUUUACUGGGUGUAAAGGGAGCGUAGACGGCAGCGCAAGUCUGGAGUGAAAUGCCGGGGCUCAACCCCGGAACUGCUUUGGAAACUG